UACGGGGGGGGCAAGCGUUGUUCGGAAUUACUGGGCGUAAAGGGCGCGUAGGCGGUUCGCUAAGUUGGAUGUGAAAACUCUGGGCUCAACCCAGAGCCUGCAUCCAAAACUGGCGGGCUAGAGUUCUGGAGGGGGUAGCGGAAUUCCUGGUGUAGCGGUGAAAUGCGCAGAUAUCGGGAGGAACACCAAUGGCGAAGGCAGCUCGCUGGGACGGUACUGACGCUGAGACGCGAAAGCGUGGGGAGCAAACAGG
rnacentral:rRNA from 1 species